GACGAACGCUGGCGGCGUGCUUAACACAUGCAAGUCGAACGGAGCGAAUGAAAGCUUGCUUUUAUAAGCUUAGUGGCAAACGGGUGAGUAACACGUAGACAACCUGCCGACAGGAUGGGGACAACAUUCCGAAAGGAAUGCUAAUACCGAAUGAAGUCGAGGGAAGGCAUCUUCCUUCGAUGAAAGAUGGCCUCUAUAUAUAAGCUAUCACCUGUUGAUGGGUCUGCGUCUGAUUAGCUGGUAGGUGAGGUAACGGCUCACCUAGGCGACGAUCAGUAGCCGGUCUGAGAGGAUGAACGGCCACAUUGGGACUGAGACACGGCCCAGACUCCUACGGGAGGCAGCAGUGGGGAAUCUUCCGCAAUGGGCGCAAGCCUGACGGAGCAACGCCGCGUGAGUGAAGAAGGUCUUCGGAUCGUAAAGCUCUGUUGAUGGGGACGAACGUGCCUAAUGCGAAUAGUUUUAGGU
rnacentral:rRNA from 1 species